ACCUUCAUUUUCAUUCACUGUUUCAGCAGCAACAGACAGAUUAGGACAAUCAUUCUCACCUUCAGCUGCGGCGCCAUCGACCACAACCACCUCGAGGCCCGACAUCGCGACCCUUGGGCCUGACGUGAGCUACCGCGCGACGCAGGUCACAGGAUCCUCGUCGUUAAACUGUCACAUCAACCAGCUCUGCUCCAACAACA